rnacentral:rRNA from 1 species
UACGAAGGGUGCAAGCGUUAAUCGGAAUUACUGGGCGUAAAGGGUGCGUAGGCGGUUGUUUAAGUCUGUCGUGAAAUCCCCGGGCUCAACCUGGGAAUGGCGAUGGAUACUGGACAGCUAGAGUGUGUCAGAGGAUGGUGGAAUUCCCGGUGUAGCGGUGAAAUGCGUAGAGAUCGGGGGGAACAUCAGUGGCGAAGGCGGCCAUCUGGGACAACACUGACGCUGAAGCACGAAAGCGUGGGGAGCAAACAGG